GCUCCUCAGCAUAGCUGACUAAGAAAUUCUGGGAGUUGAAGUCCACAAGUCUUAAAGUUACCAAGUUUGGGGACCCCUUGUCCUAGCUCAUGAGGC